UUCGGGUGAAGGAACUAGGCAAAAUGGCACCGUAACUUCGGGAGAAGGUGCACCGCUUUUGGUGAUGGGAUUUACUCCCUAAGCUGAGGGCGGUCGAAGAUACCAGGCCCCUGCAACUGUUUAUUAAAAACACGGCACUCUGCAAACACGUAAGUGGACGUAUAGGGUGUGACGCCUGCCCGGUGCCGGAAGGUUAAUUGAUGGGGUUAGCGCAAGCGAAGCUCUUGAUCGAAGCCCCGGUAAACGGCGGCCGUAACUAUAACGGUCCUAAGGUAGCGAAAUUCCUUGUCGGGUAAGUUCCGACCUGCACGAAUGGCGUAAUGAUGGGGGCGCUGUCUCCACCCGAGACUCAGUGAAAUUGAAAUCGCGGUUAAGAUGCCGUGUUCCCGCGGCUAGACGGAAAGACCCCGUGAACCUUUACUAUAGCUUUGCACUGAACUUUGAACCUAUCUGUGUAGGAUAGGUGGGAGGCUUUGAAGUUGGGACGCUAGUCCUAAUGGAGCCGUCCUUGAAAUACCACCCUGGUAUGUUUGAGGUUCUAACGUAGACCCCUAAUCGGGGUUGCGGACAGUGUAUGGUGGGUAGUUUGACUGGGGCGGUCUCCUCCCAAAGAGUAACGGAGGAGCACGAAGGUGUGCUAAUCAUGGUCGGAAAUCAUGAGGUUAGUGUAAAGGCAAAAGCACGCUUGACUGCGAGACAGACAUGUCGAGCAGGUACGAAAGUAGGUCUUAGUGAUCCGGUGGCUCUGUAUGGAAGGGCCAUCGCUCAACGGAUAAAAGGUACUCCGGGGAUAACAGGCUGAUACCGCCCAAGAGUUCACAUCGACGGCGGUGUUUGGCACCUCGAUGUCGGCUCAUCACAUCCUGGGGCUGAAGCCGGUCCCAAGGGUAUGGCUGUUCGCCAUUUAAAGUGGUACGCGAGCUGGGUUUAGAACGUCGUGAGACAGUUCGGUCCCUAUCUGCCGUGGGCGUUGGAGAUUUGAGAAGAGUUGUUCCUAGUACGAGAGGACCGGAAUGAACGAACCUCUGGUGUUCGGGUUGUCAUGCCAAUGGCACUGCCCGGUAGCUAUGUUCGGACGGGAUAACCGCUGAAAGCAUCUAAGCGGGAAGCCUCCUUCAAGAUGAGAUCUCCCUGGGACUUUAAGUCCCCUAAAGAGCCGUUGAAGACUACGACGUUGAUAGGUUGGGUGUGGAAGCGCAGCGAUGCGUUGAGCUAACCAAUACUAAUUGCUCGUGCGGCUUGACC
rnacentral:rRNA from 1 species